CCCUGGACUGUGACAGGUUUCCAUAGACACGCGUGGCCUCAAGCAUGCCGUCCAUACUGGAGCUGAGCACCAACUUGAGCAUCACUGAAGUACAAAGAAGAGGUGAUUGGAGGAAAAGUGAUCACUUUUCAGUCAUUAUUUUCCAUUUAUCUCCUUUUUUUGGCCUUACACUUUGCGAUGGUGAGUUCAUUGCGUGUGAUUGGAGAGUCUUCUUCCUGGUAGAAGGACAGGUUGUUGAUGGUUGCGGCUACAUUCACCAUCAGCUCCUCGCUUUCCUGCACAGACCUCAGCUCUGCGUCAACCAAACAUACACGCACAUACAAAGAAGAAGCAAAAUAAGCUUAACAUGGAACACUUUUUACGGAGAGGAUGUUUUAGUUGAUCUUCUUCCAUUAAAAAAUCUUCCUGAAUGAAAUUGCAGCCAACAGAGGGAGCAUGUUUAACAGGAAUACACUACGCAAUGGUCCUGCUGGCCAUUCAUUUAUGUGAAGUGACCCUUAUUCUGGUGACUGUGUUGUGAGGACUGUUAUUACAGCUGUCCAUUGCCAUGUUAAGAAUACAAGUAUUCACAGAGAGCUCUUCCCCAGAUAAUGAAUAACCAGGUGAAAGCAUUGCUUCCUUUUGUGUUGAUCAAAAGAAGCAGUUAAAGUAAGAUGUAGAUUAUUAAUUCUUUCCACCAACACACAAAAGAUCAUUUAAAGUGGGUAGAACUCAGUAUUAGUUUCUAUAUUUGAGGUACAGUGCAGAUGUUACAGGAAAUGCAGGAAAAUGCUCAGAGAAAGAGGACAAUUUCAGCAAUUUAUCUACGAUAGAUGGGGUGACCAAGUGUCCCGCUUUGUGCGGAACUGCACAGCAUUUUCAUCCCUUUUUCCACGUCCCACCAAUUGAGACGCUGUCCCGCAUUUUGAUUGGCAGCUAUAAUUUUCAAAAGCUAAAACUCUAAAGGACAGAUGCUAAGAGUUUUGUUUUUUAUCUGGCUUUUUUCUAUGUUAGUCAAACAGCGCAGAUGUGCGAUCACUACCAGAUUAACCUGUCAGUGUCUUGCUGCCGCACCUUGUUGUCAGUUGCCGUAAAUUGUGCCAGUCGCGACCGGUCGCGACACACCGCAAAGCAGACACAAACACUAAACUGUGGAUUUUGGCGGAGAUAAUGGAAAGUACAGCAAAGAAGAGGAGAUGCAGCUUCAACAAAGACUGGGAAACUACAUAUCACUGGGUGAAGCCGGUGCAAGGUGAUUCUCAGAGAGUUUUCUGUGAAGUUUACCAGAGUUCGUUUUCCGUUUCACACGGUGGGGAAUACGACGUGAAGCGACACGGUACAUGCGAGAUCCUCCUCUCAGCUUUGUCAGUGUAGGAGGUUGGCAACAGAGAACCGAGUUUCACACCCACCUAUCUAUCAGUUCAACCUGUCCUGAAACCAUCUAACCACACGGGAGAAAUUCGCACACGCAAACCAAGUCGUCUGUGAGAUGUGACAGAACAUCCUGCUCAUGCAGCGAGGCGCUUCGCUCUGUCGGAGCAGGUAAACCAAAAGAGGAUGUGCUGCGUAUCGAACAGAAAGCACAGAGAGGAAGGCAGCAAAGGAAUGAACAGGAGUGUGUUUUCAACAAAAUUCACAUCGUGUUCCCAGCACAAGGGAAGUGGUCGGGGCCUCGCAGAUGUACUGUACUCACAAUGCAUUAAACGGCUAUUUUUAAACUCCAUAUUCUCAUACACUGCUUCCUUUGUAUGAUGAGAUACAAGAGAACAAACAGAAAAAGACAAAUCCUACAGCUGUAUGCCUGCUGCUGUGCUCACCGAGCGUCUCCAUCAGAAGCUGAAGGCAGGUCGUGUUGUUGGCCAGCGGUGGACCUACAGCCGGGUGGAUGCACAUGUUUGCCAGCACCCUGACCAGCUUCACCAGCACAUCGUCAGCUUCCUGCGCGCUUACGGAUGAAGCGGGAUACCUGCAUGAGGAAGGGACACACUUCUGCAAGGGUGUGUGAGGUGACACAUCUUUCCUCUGGUAGCUGUUGUACAAUCCAAGGAGUGUGUCCAUACAACUGUUGCACUGAAAGAGCUGCUGGCGAGACUCGUCGAUUUUGGCUGUUAUGUUCCCGAGGGUGAAGAGAAUUCGCACGACAAGGUCCUGUUGGAGAGCAGUUGGAGAUUAUUCUCACAGUUUCUGAGUUAAAUAAAGUGAGCAGUGAAUUCAAUUAGGCAUUUCUUUAUACUGAAAAUGUCAGUGAAACGACAAUCUGUGCUGGGAAAAGUUCCUUUUUAGCUUCAAAAAAUGGGCAGCUAAUAUGGUUUUCUUCAUAAAGCAGCUUAAUUUAGUCAUUGCAAAAAAUAAACAGUAUAUAUUAUGAGCUUUUUUCACUACUUUCUGGGUUUAUAUUUACCAGCUGGUCAUAUACUGAAUUUUAGAGAAGGCAACUAACAAUCCAUGUCAUAUCGUAAUGACCUUUUGUUGUGACCUAUUGACCUUUUGUUGUGACCUACUGUCUUUUUAUUGUGAUCUAUUGGCUUUAUUAUAUUUUUCACUGUUAUGUUUUCUUUGUGUUCUUUUUGCAGUGUGCUUUUAUCGUGACUUAUUGUUUUAUGUGUCGCUGUUAUGUCUUUUUUUCUUUUCACCUAGGGACUGCGGAUGUAAAUUAGCAUUGUGCUAUAAUCCGGCAUAUUUACGGCCAUUGCUGUAUAAAUAGGCAUUUAUUAAUCUGCACUGUCCCUACCAAAUAAACAAAUAUCUAAGAAUCUGCUGAGUAAAAGUACAACACAUCAUGCAAAUGGCCUUCUUUUCUGACUCAGAGAAAAAGUUAAACAUCUUUUUUCUGUUGUUUUGGUCAGAGAAGGGUUAAAUCGAGCCAUUUAUGCUCACAAAGUCUCUGAGCUGUGCAACUGGUGACAAAUUCUUGACCACUGAGUUAAUCCACACUCCGGUCAGAUGUGGCUUUACAGGACAAUGAUCAGACAACGUGGCCAGAAUACUGACACUCCCUUAACCAGCGACUAUAAAAAGCCUCCCUAAAAUGCAGCUUUAUUCGAAUGACUCGAUGCCGCAGAUGACAAGAGACAGAUGAGAAGGGGCUGCUGGAUGCUGGCGAGUCAGAUAAGACUGUAGCUGGGCACUUGAAUGUCUGCUACUUGCCAUUUGUCGUCUAAGAAAUCAUUUCAGGCUGCAUGGUGCGAAAGACAAUCUGCCACAUGAUGCUCUGGAAGGAUGUUUGAGAAAAUGUGAUCCUGUCCCCCUCAAAUGCCAUAUUACAUGCUGCAUUUGUAUUUUUGUUUGCUAUGGUUGAUCUAACCUUGAAAUGCCAGAGAACAGUGAAAAGAGCCCAAAGCGAUCCGUUCAAAUGUCUUGUUUUGUCUAAUGAGCAGUCCAAAACUAAAGAUAUUGAGGUAGAACAUAUAACAGAUAGAAAACCCUCAAUUUUCAAGGGCUAGAAUCAACACAUGUUGACCAUUUUGAUUGAGGCAAGUAGUUUAUUAUCCAAACAGCUGCUGAUUAGUUUGAGCUCCAGGAUAUUUACUGUAGACUUUCCUGAAAAGAGGCAGGCUGACUCAGUCCACCUGCAGCUCGGUGAACCUGCCCUGUCAAGUAGCCCAAUUAUCAGUGUCACUCGUUCAUCUGAGAGAGUUGAGAGCUGUGUAGACGUGCUCCUCUGUAACUACGCCCCGUCUUACCAAGAAAAACUCCGUCACACUCCACUUACUAAAUAACAUGCUGAGCAGGUGAAGACAACAUUUCUCCCAUAAAUGUGCAGUGGCACUGCUGCGAGGAUGGGACAAGCUGUCCCAGUACGAGGAACUUAUUACAUGUUUUGCUGCCCAGUGUGUGUAUUUUUACACGCGGGUGUGUGUUUACUCCAGCUGAGAUUAAGAACACACAUCACUCAUUUCUGAUUGCCAACAAUCCCAUGUUUUUCUUCUCCUCUUUCAACUCUGUCUUUCCUCCCUCCACCUCUGUGUCACCCCAACUCACGUACAAGCUCACCUCCCAUAUUUUUUCCUCUUUCUCCUCCCUCCCUUUUCCUCGACUGACUGACCCCCCCUCCCCAGAGAACGAUUAAAUGUCAAAACACACAGGGCAGAGCAGUGAAGGAGGGAACGUUAUGUGUAGAUGGACGCAGUGUCCCAUAAGCGUGCUUAGACUUGAAGUGCGUAAACAUGUUACUCUGAAAGUACACAUGCUUGUGUGGUGGAGUGGAGUUACACCAUGAAUGCUGGAAAAAUUCAUUUUCACUUCUCUUUAUUACACAAAAACUCAACCACGGCACUAAAACACAGAGGAGAUUUGUGGACUCACCUGUUUUUGGUGAUGUUUGCUCAGCAGUUCUAAAAAUAGCUGGUAGCAGCCUGGGGUUUGGGCCAAAGCGAAGCGGCACUCAGAGUAAGAGGAGAGUUUACUGAGGGAGAGAAGAGACAACAAAUACCACUGAUCAUUCCACUCACUAACUGCUCGGCUGUGCUGACUAAAUAUGGAGAUAUUAAAUCAACACUGCUAAUGGAUACAUAGCCACGGGCUGGGAUCUCAUUUUUAUGUUCCCAUUAUCUUGAGCAAAAAUAUUCAACAGUAUUAGCUUUAUCAGUAGUAUUAAACUAUUUUUUCUUGAUAUUUUGCGUUGUACUAAAUAUUCUGCCUGAUGCUUCACAUAUUAAUGAGGAACUUGAGCCAAAGUAGGAGGCAUGGGGACACAACAUUUUGCAUUGUUGCACUCAGUUUGGAGAACAUUGGGCCUAUAUUGUCACACAGUACAACUUUCCAGUGCAUUUAAUGUAAAGUGUAAGCGACACUUCUACCCUACAUCAGAUUAGUCCACCCUAAAAAUACCUUACAGUCACAAAGUGCUGUGUGUUUUAUGAAGUAUACAGCUCUCUGUGUAAUUGAAAAACAACGAUAUGGAUGAACAAGUUCAAGCAGUAAGUUCUGCUUUUCCUUUCAUCAUUCCAAUUUGCUUUUGGUUCAUAAUAUUUAGCUUUCGACAUUUUCUGAAAUGAACAUUUCUAGACCUUUAUUUUCAAUAAACUUGACCUGUCAGCCUUAUAAAAGUUCGACCUACAACUGUUGCAGUGUUUGCAUGUUUUUUCAUUGUACGUUCAGAACAUCCUGUACAGUUGAAACGCUGAUAAGUGAGUAAGGCAAAACAGAAAACUGCUAACAGAUGUGUAAACACCUGCCAUCUGAUAAAUGCUACCUAACACUGGAAGCUCCUGUUGUGUUAGUUUCAUCUUCAUACAAUGACUUCAUGAAAGAGGAGGAAAGAGUAGAGGGAAGUUAAUGAGGAGAAAGAAGGUGACGCAAGAAAAAGAGGGUGAAACCUGACCAAUGUCUGUUUUGAUUUAAAUCAGGACAGGCUGUGAGAAUUGACUUCAGUGAGCCAUAACCAGAAUUGAAGUGUGGCAUUAUGUUUUUCAUUAGAACCACAGAGACGUGCAUGAUACCUGUAAAUUCUGGAAAUGUUGGUGCAGACGUCCUGGUCUUUGCAGUGUUUACGCAGCACUAAGCAGAGCUCUGGCAGUAUUGAGAAGGAAACAAACAGCGGACGGGAUUCAGGGUGAUCAGCAAGGUUCCUCAGGGUUGCUGUCAGCUACAGGGGUAGAGAGAAAGAGGCCAGAGUUCAGGUUAGUGAUAGAAGUACAUGUAGUACCUAAACAGACUGCGUUUCAUCCACUAAUGCAUAUCGGUGUUGUGUUGUGGGCAGCACACAAUGUCAAGCUUGUGCUCAUUAAAGCCGGCUGCUAGACAUGUGCAGGACACGCUGCCGCUGAGUGACAGGAAACUGUUCAGUAAUGAAAUUAAUCAUUCCAUCACAAGAAGGAAACAGUAAUUUCCAACACACGGCCGCACUGAAAAUUCUGGAACAUUCGUGGUGUGCUUAUUUCCCCUUCUCUAACGGGAUAAUGAGCUGUGUUAGGUAUCACAUAAAACACUGGUUCAAGAUGUUUGCUUGAGCCAGCUUAUGUGGUUUGCAGCAAUCACAUACAGUGGAGUGAAACAGGGUGUGUUUAGGACUGAAAACUGGCCGGCAGCUAACAUCAUGCUCACGGAGCAGCUUUUAUACCAGACAAAAACAAAAACAUUUUUGUCUAAUAGUGGAAAAAUCUGCAUCAGCCAACCAAUACAAAAAGAAGUACGUUUAACGUUUGGUUCCCCUUUUUUAUGGACAUGGUGUAACUUUGUGGUUUUGACUCAAACUGUCUGCAACUGAAAAGGAGAAUUGUAAGAUUUGUUUUCCAAUACUAAAUCCUCGAAGCUUUGAUAAACAUAACUCAGGAGGAUCUGUGACACACCUGUACGAGGAUGUGGCCUGCUAUAGUGAAGUUGGUGUCUUCUACUAUGCAGAGCUUCUUGAGGAGUUUCUGAGCUGCACUGAUACAGUUCUUAUCCAGCAGAAGUCUGAGCACUGCAGCGUUUCCAGAGAGAAACUUCAAAGUACCAACACAAUACAGCAGAGCUUCUCCAGAUGCAGGCACAUCCUCAUUGCACAGCACAUCCAGCAACAAGUCUAGACAGAAAAAAUACAAAACACCCGUCAUUACCUUCCAUAUGCCAUGGGGUAUUGGCCAUUCUAAAUGACUGAGUAUAGAGGUUGACAAAAAUGAGACUAAAUAGAACCAGACAGAUAAAAAAUAACCCAUAAACAACUACUAAUUAAGAACAUAACUUGCUGCAGUGUAGGAAACCACUAAAAACUGUCAUCCUGACCGAUGAUAGAGUUGUUCUGGAAGAGGAUGUCGUUGCUUUCACUGCGGCCGAUCUGGAAAAUGAGCUUACAGAUGUUGAGCAGGUUGUUUCCACUGACGCACAGCUGGAGAGAAAAAUGCAAAAGACUUUCACACAACUUUUGCACUAAGCAGUGGCCUGGACGCUUUAUGACAGAGACUUGUGUUAGACAAACACACACACCAACAAACACACAUUUUGCAAAACUCACAGACAACUCACAGCGAGGCAGAGCUUGGCGAUGUGCAGGUUGAGCCGGGCAGAGUUGAGGUCAAUGAGGCGGAACAGCGUUCGAAGUAUCCCCGACCUCCUCUUACAGCGUCGACCGAGCAUGUCCGCUUCUGCCAAGGUGCCGUGGAGACCAUCGCACAAAUCACACAGACGGUCCAGCGAGGCCUCGGAGCCGCCUGGCAUCGCAGGCGAGCACACGUAUCACAUGAAAAACUAUGUCAGGUUCAGGACAACAUGUCAAACGCUCACAGAGAAAGCAAACAUUGCAGAAUUAAAACACCCACUAGUGUGUGUGUGUGUGUGUGUGUGUGUGUGUGUGUGUGUGUGUGUGUGUGUUGGCGAGUGUGUAUCCAUAUAAAUACAGACGAGGGAGGUUUUAUGGAUAUUGUGGUGUGCAUGUAGAAUAUGCAGGCGCUCUGCUUUACGGUGUAUGGGAAUGUGAGGUCAAAUCCUCAAUAAUACAUUGGUUAGCAGAAAAUUAACAUUCUCCUCCCUCUUCUAAGAAGCAGCUUGGAGUUUCAGUGGUCAAAUGCUGGGGAACAAUCCUGCAACAGGCAGCAACACUCUUGACGCAGAGGAAGAGAAAGGGUGGAGUCUUUUCCUUGUUUUUGAGUACCUGCAGCCACACUCUCUAGUUGAUGAAGAAGAGGAGCGAUCACAUCAUUCCACAGCAGUGACUCUGCAUUCCCCUCUGUGCUCGUGGUGUUGUCUCCAUACACCAGCUCUGAAAUAUGCAGAGAGAACUGCAGUUACCCAAUUACCACCUCCGAACACAGGCGCGGCGGUAAUGUGGUGAGAGAUCCAGCCCUGAGGAGGCGUGUCCGUGACCCUACCAGGCCCUUCCUCGCUUCAGCUGGGUCAGUGGGCGGUUUGGGAAAGGUCUUGGAUGGAUCCUCAGUAUUGCAUUCGACUGGAAACUUUGGUUUCUGCCGCAACACAAACAAUUCACCGGCAUACGAUGGUGUGGAGAAUCAGCCCGAGGAUUCAUUCACCAGUUGUAACAGAUUUAAACAGAGAAAACAUCAGGAUCCAUCUUGGGGUUCUCACGGUUUUCAUCAGUGAAGUUUUCAGAGAAGCUGAUGUGAAGAUGGCUCCCAAGAAAAAGAAAAAUUAAAAGUAAGAUCUCUUCUUUGUCCAUCCAGUUUUGUUCUGAAAAUAACUGAGCUCCAUUUAACAUCACUGUGAGAUUUUGACCUUUUCUCGUACUUCUUAAAGUCAGCUCCUGAGAAUCAGCUCUCCUGUUGUCUCAGCCCAAUCUCAGUCUAAGAUCUUAAAAUGUUCUUUUUCUCUCACUGCAUGGAUCUUUAUGUGCCAGUUUUAUCUCAGAGCCAAUUUUGUGUACAGUGUUUAUUAAUGUCUGCUGUUGCACAAAUAGAGAGAGUAAGGUAAUUUCAAUCCUCGGUAUGUAAUGUACAUAUUGAAGAACUGACAAUAAAGCUCACUUUGACUGGAAAUAAUCAACUCUGGACUUAACAGGAAGAUCCAAAAGAAAAUUUGACUGGCCUAUAAAUCAUAUUUAAUGCCUGUGCAUCAGAAAUUUGUCUCAACAGUCAAAUUCAAGUUUCAUUUCCCCAUAUUUACCUGUUCAAAUGACUGAUAAAUGAUAAUCUCUGUUUGUAUGCAUGCAAGUCUGUUCAUUGUAUAUCAUAAUGACCAUAUAUCUGAUCCCACUUGAUCAAACUUGGCAGGUGUAUUGCUGGAGAUCCAGUUUAUUGCAGUGCUGAGUUUUAAGUCAUUUGGAUGAGCAUUUUUUUUGGAGUUUAAUGACUGUGUUGUCUACCUUUGCUAAUGCUAACAUGACUGUACUAUUUGUUUUAUUAAAAAAAACGUUUUCUAUGCAA